CCGAGCACAUGGGCCCGCGGGCCGGGCGGGCUCGGGGCGGCCUGGACCCGGACGGGCGGCGAGGGGCCGCGCGCGGGGACGGGCCCCGGCACCCCCCGGGCCCCCCGAGCGGAUUUCCACGCCGAGAGGAUGUUGGCAGCGCCGGCGACCUGCCGAGACGCGGCGGGAUCCACCUUCCA
rfam:Felis catus isolate Cinnamon breed Abyssinian chromosome F2, whole genome shotgun sequence.